rnacentral:lncRNA from 1 species
CAGCUGUAGAGAAAACUGGGUUCCAAAGUUGUAUAGGAUGAAGAUGAUCAGCAAUGUAUACUGCUGAUCCACCACCUACCCCAUUUGAUCUGCCGCAGUAGAAAGCUCGGUAUCCAGGUAAAUAGAAUGUGCAUGCUUCUCUUAGUUUUUCAUAUUCAUCAUAUGAUAGUGAAUGAUAACUACCAUCAAUGUUUGAAGCAAAUGGAUUAAACACCUUAUUAUUUGAGGUUGAACCCAUACAGUAAGGUGUUGAUGGAAAGGAAGAACUUGAGAGCCUGGUCUCAGGCCCAGCUUGCCUGCCUUCAACUGUUACAAACUCUUCAAGAUUAGCAGCUCUGUUUAGCACAUGACCAGCAGGAAUGCGGUUCAGGGUCUGAGAGUAUAUGAAUCGAUUCUGGCCUGCUACACUUCUGUUCGCCGAAGAGGACAGUGUGGAAGCGUGAAACGCCGGCUGAAAAGUAAAAGCAGACUUCCAAGCCUGAAAUGAUGACGUCAUCCAAGUUGGCAAUUUACUAGCGGACAAGUCGGAGAAAAAUGCAGAAAGUUUGGAAAGCCACCAAUUUCCCCAGCCAGGUUCGCAACGUAUUGACAAGCAGCGUCCGUCGAGCAUAACGAUUCUUGUUUCUUUGUUCUCACUCUGGGGUCGCCAUAGUUCCUUCCAGGGGUCAAGGGGUGACGAGAUGUCAGUGUUAUGGUGGGCACAUACUUUUCUAUCUGACUCAUAACUGCUGUUCAAAGGUCGCAUGCGCCACCUGCCACGUCUGGUCGUAACGGUGGCCCGUGCGCUGCGGCCGCUCAAGUCGCUGCCAGCUGGAUUCCAGACGGCAGCGGAUCCUUUGUGCAACCCGAGCUCCAUCGAGUGCGCUCGCGCUGCUCGGUGGUUGUUGUUCUGGUCGUGUUUAAGAGAAGCUGGGUAUCUAGCGAUCACAAGUCCACAUUUUCACGUUAGUCUUUAUCCACAAGCCAUCACUUUGAGGUCAUGUUACAUGUGAAGCAAGGUACGUACGUCCGAACUCGUGCUGCCACUUUCAAACCCACGGGCUGUGAGUCACUUAACUCUAAAUUCUAAGAGACUGAAAUUUCAACGCAUGACUGUGGUACCUGAUGGGCAUGAACAAUGUUCUGGACAUCCCUUUCAUGGCAUGUGCUUGUGUAUAAGGCUAUCCAUCUUUCAAUGUUUACGCAAGUGUUUCUUUGUGAAAUUGACAAUGUGGCUCGUUUGAGGCACCUGCUACCCAUGGGCUGUCCAUGGCCAAAUUGUCUCUACAUAGACAUGUCUACAUAUAUUCUCAUUCAGGACUGUGGUCAUUAUAUCAACCUAGGUGAAUGUAAAGUGAGGCCUGGUUUUUUACAUUCUUAUGCUAGUUGAUGUUUGAUUUCUCGUCUUUCAAGGUAUACAUUGCUGAUUCCUUUUGAAGAGCCUUCUAAAGGAUCACGACGAUUUUGUCUUGUGCAAGGAGGAUUGAUACCUUGGAGCAAGAUCAUUGCAUCUGUUGGUGCUUCAACAGUCCCUUCAAAAUGAGACAUGUAUACACACUUGAAAUGAAUAAAGUUCAACAGUUUGGCUCAUUCUAAUUAAUAAAAACAGGUAGAGGAAUUAACGGCGGUAGAUUUGAAUGUUCGCGAGACGGCCUUGUUAUUAUGACCAGAUUAAGUAUGUCUAUCUCGAAUUAAUACAGGGUCAUUAGAUGUGAGCCAUGGCAAGAAUAUACAAAAGCGAUUGCCACGCUUUAAGAUUUCUC